rnacentral:rRNA from 1 species
GACGAACGCUGGCGGCGUGCUUAACACAUGCAAGUCGAGCGGUAAGGCCCUUUUGGGGGUACACGAGCGGCGAACGGGUGAGUAACACGUGGGUGACCUGCCCUCAGCUCUGGGAUAAGCCUGGGAAACUGGGCCUAAUACUGGAUAUGACCUUUCCUCGCAUGGGGUUGGGUGGAAAGUUUUUCGGCUGGGGAUGGGCCCGCGGCCUACCAGCUUGUUGGUGGGGUGAUGGCCUACCAAGGCGACGACGGGUAGCCGGCCUGAGAGGGCGACCGGCCACACUGGGACUGAGACACGGCCCAGACUCCUACGGGAGGCAGCAGUGGGGAAUAUUGCGCAAUGGCGGAAGCCUGACGCAGCGACGCCGCGUGGGGAUGAC